rnacentral:rRNA from 1 species
CCAGCAGUCGACGGUGACACGGAGCUUGCUCUGUGGGAUCAGUGGCGAACGGGUGAGUAACACGUGAGCAACCUGCCCCUGACUCUGGGAUAAGCGCUGGAAACGGCGUCUAAUACUGGAUAUGUGACGUGACCGCAUGGUCUGCGUCUGGAAAGAAUUUCGGUUGGGGAUGGGCUCGCGGCCUAUCAGCUUGUUGGUGAGGUAAUGGCUCACCAAGGCGUCGACGGGUAGCCGGCCUGAGAGGGUGACCGGCCACACUGGGACUGAGACACGGCCCAGACUCCUACGGGAGGCAGCAGUGGGGAAUAUUGCACAAUGGGCGCAAGCCUGAUGCAGCAACGCCGCGUGAGGGACGACGGCCUUCGGGUUGUAAACCUCUUUUAGCAGGGAAGAAGCGAAAGUGACGGUACCUGCAGAAAAAGCGCCGGCUAACUACGUGCCAGCAGCCGCGGUAAUACGUAGGGCGCAAGCGUUAUCCGGAAUUAUUGGGCGUAAAGAGCUCGUAGGCGGUUUGUCGCGUCUGCUGUGAAAUCCGGAGGCUCAACCUCCGGCCUGCAGUGGGUACGGGCAGACUAGAGUGCGGUAGGGGAGAUUGGAAUUCCUGGUGUAGCGGUGGAAUGCGCAGAUAUCAGGAGGAACACCGAUGGCGAAGGCAGAUCUCUGGGCCGUAACUGACGCUGAGGAGCGAAAGGGUGGGGAGCAAACAGGCUUAGAUACCCUGGUAGUCCACCCCGUAAACGUUGGGAACUAGUUGUGGGGUCCAUUCCACGGAUUCCGUGACGCAGCUAACGCAUUAAGUUCCCCGCCUGGGGAGUACGGCCGCAAGGCUAAAACUCAAAGGAAUUGACGGGGACCCGCACAAGCGGCGGAGCAUGCGGAUUAAUUCGAUGCAACGCGAAGAACCUUACCAAGGCUUGACAUAUACGAAGAACGGGCCAGAAAUGGUCAACUCUUUGGACACUCGUAAACAGGUGGUGCAUGGUUGUCGUCAGCUCCUGUCGGGAGAUGUUGGGUUAAGUCCCGCAACGAGGCCAACCCUCGUUCUA